rnacentral:rRNA from 1 species
UGGGGAAUAUUGGACAAUGGGGGCAACCCUGAUCCAGCAAUGCCGCGUGUGUGAAGAAGGCCUUCGGGUUGUAAAGCACUUUUAUCGGGAACGAAACAUUGUCGGCCAAUACCCGGCAAGACUGACGGUACCCGAGGAAUAAGCACCGGCUAACUCCGUGCCAGCAGCCGCGGUAAUACGGAGGGUGCAAGCGUUAAUCGGAAUUACUGGGCGUAAAGCGUGCGCAGGCGGUUUGUUAAGUCUGCUGUGAAAUCCCCGAGCUCAACUCGGGAAUUGCAGUGGAUACUGGCAAGCUGGAGUACGGUAGAGGAAGGUGGAAUUCCCGGUGUAGCAGUGAAAUGCGUAGAGAUCGGGAGGAACACCAGUGGCGAAGGCGGCCUUCUGGACCAGUACUGACGCUCAUGCACGAAAGCGUGGGGAGCAAACA